rnacentral:rRNA from 1 species
CCUACGGGAGGCAGCAGUGGGGAAUAUUGCGCAAUGGGCGAAAGCCUGACGCAGCGACGCCGCGUGAGGGAUGAAGGUCCUCGGAUCGUAAACCUCUGUCAGCAGGGAAGAACGGUCACUGUGCUAAUCAGCAGUGAAUUGACGGUACCUGCAAAGGAAGCACCGGCUAACUCCGUGCCAGCAGCUGCGGUAAUACGGGGGGUGCGAGCGUUAAUCGGUAUUACUGGGCGUAAAGCGCUCGUAGGCGGUAUGUCAAGUCAAGGGGGAAAUCCCCGCGCUCAACGUGGGAACUGCCUUUGAAACUGGCAAACUGGAGUGUGUGAGAGGAUAGUGGAAUUCCAGGUGUAGGAGUGAAAUGCGUAGAUAUCUGGAGGAACAUCAGUGGCGAAGGCGACUAUCUGGCACAUAACUGACGCUGAGGAGCGAAAGCGUGGGUAGCAAACAGGAUUAGAUACCCUAGUAGUC